rnacentral:rRNA from 1 species
AAUGAACGCUGGCGGCGUGCUUAACACAUGCAAGUCGAACGGUAACAGUAAGAAGCUUGCUUCUUAGCUGACGAGUGGCGCACGGGUGAGUAAUAUAUAGGUAACGUGCCCCUUAGUCUGGGAUAGCCACUGGAAACGGUGAUUAAUACUGGAUACACCUGCUUGCAGGGAAAGGUUUUUCGCUAAGGGAUCGGCCUAUACUGUAUCAGCUUGUUGGUGAGGUAAGAGCUCACCAAGGCAAUGACACAUAGCGGGUUUGAGAGGAUGAUCCGCCACAUUGGUACUGAGACACGGACCAGACUCCUACGGGAGGCAGCAGUGAGGAAUAUUGCACAAUGGGCGAAAGCCUGAUGCAGCAACGCCGCGUGGAGGAUGGCGCAUUUCGGUGUGUAAACUCCUUUUAUCAGAGAAGAACAUGACGGUAUCUGAUGAAUAAGCUCCGGCUAACUCCGUGCCAGCAGCCGCGGUAAUACGGAGGGAGCAAGCGUUAUUCGGAAUCACUGGGCGUAAAGGACGCGUAGGCGGGUUUAUUAAGUCAGAUGUGAAAUCCUAUGGCUCAACCAUAGAACUGCAUUUGAAACUGGUAACCUAGAGUAUGGAAGGGGAAGAUGGAAUUAGUGGUGUAGGGGUAAAAUCCGUAGAUAUCACUAGGAAUACCGAAAGCGAAGGCGAUCUUCUGGGACAUUACUGACGCUGAGGCGUGAAAGCGUGGGGAGCAAACAGGAUUAGAUACCCUGGUAGUCCACGCCCUAAACGAUGAAUGCUAGUCGUCGGAGAGCUCGUCUCUUCGGUGAUGCAGUUAACACAUUAAGCAUUCCGCCUGGGGAGUACGGUCGCAAGAUUAAAACUCAAAGGAAUAGACGGGGACCCGCACAAGUGGUGGAGCAUGUGGUUUAAUUCGAAGCAAC